UCGAACGGUAACAGGGAGCUUGCUCCGCUGACGAGUGGCGAACGGGUGAGUAAUGCGUCGGAACGUGCCGAGUAGUGGGGGAUAACGCAUCGAAAGGUGUGCUAAUACCGCAUACGUACUGAGGUAGAAAGUGGGGGACCUUCGGGCCUCACGCUAUUCGAGCGGCCGACGUCUGAUUAGCUAGUUGGUGAGGUAAAGGCUCACCAAGGCGACGAUCAGUAGCGGGUCUGAGAGGAUGAUCCGCCACACUGGGACUGAGACACGGCCCAGACUCCUACGGGAGGCAGCAGUGGGGAAUUUUGGACAAUGGGCGCAAGCCUGAUCCAGCCAUGCCGCGUGUCUGAAGAAGGCCUUCGGGUUGUAAAGGACUUUUGUCCGGGAGCAAAUGCUGGUGGCUAACAUCCACCGGAGCUGAGAGUACCGGAAGAAUAAGCACCGGCUAACUACGUGCCAGCAGCCGCGGUAAUACGUAGGGUGCAAGCGUUAAUCGGAAUUACUGGGCGUAAAGCGUGCGCAGGCGGUUUUGUAAGCCAGAUGUGAAAGCCCCGGGCUCAACCUGGGAACUGCGUUUGGAACUACAAGACUAGAGUGUGUCAAAGGGGGGUGGAAUUCCGCGUGUA
rnacentral:rRNA from 1 species